CAAGUACAAUUUCACACAGGUUUUGAGGAAAUAUUUGGCCACACUCAACUUGGGCAUGAAAACAUUUUCUACUGCACGCGCCUGAAGCGGAAGUCUAAAACAGAAGUUAAUGCGAUAGCACAUGUUUGUUUGUAGGAAGUGUUGUUACAGCUCUCAUUAGAUCUGUAAAGGGCUCUCUUUUUAGGAAUUGAGAAGAAGGAGGAGGACAGAAGGAGAGAUAGCUACUGAGAUUUCCAUGAACUGACACCUGGACCCAAAGCCUCAGCCAGGGCAUUCCACUGUUACCCCCAUCUGCCUGCAGUCGGGGCAGCCAUGGACAACAAAACUCAUCCCAGAGAGGGAGUGAGCAGAGUGUGAGAGAGUACGGGGAGUCAGGGUGUGUGCUCUGCCCUACACGACAACUACAGUGAGGCACGCAGGAAGAGGAAGAAAGAGACAGAGACCAGAAAACAGAACUGAAUGAAUGAAUGAAAAGAAACAACAGAUGAAAGAACAACUGAAUAAGAAUGAGCAAGUGAACAAACAAAACGCAGCAAGAGAGGAAACAAACAAAAGAACAAACCAAAAGAAAAAUGGCCGUUUCAGUCGGGUGGACACUAAAACGCUCAUCCUGUCCUAUAAUGCCUUGCUGAUUUCCCCUCUCAGUGUCCUCCUCCCUCACUGUCAACAGAGCUAAAAUUACAGUGGUGCUUUGAAACAUACAGGUUCUUCAUCUGACCCUGACCAGUCCAGCCUGAUACUACAGGAGGAAGCCCUAAUCAAAGAAACAACAAUCACUUAGGACAGCCAUUAAAGGUCCGUUUUUGGCAUGUCCCAGAGCUCCUGUUAGAACCCGUGCUGACAGACAGUAUGACAGAGCUCAAAGAAGAAAGCAGGUGGCAGCAGAAAGCUCAGAGAUCUUACCUUCACAUUGAUACCAGCAAACUCUUUCUCUGCCCAGGUGAUCUGUGAAUUGUACUGCUAAUGUGGGGUUGGGGAGGAAGAAGCAAACAAAGAGAAAAUCAAACUAAGAACAAAAUGAAUAUUUUCUUUACUCUUCCACCACUGUUCACCGAUGAAGCACCUAAGAAUCUUCUCUCCACCAAAGUUUUGAUAAUUAAAGAGAUAGCUCACCCAAAAAUCUAAAUCCUGUCAAUAAAGUCAAUGAAACACUGCAAUUUGCAAUGAUAAUUUUCCUCUUCAGUGGGUAGAACAUUUGCUUUGUUCUGAAACAGGGACUUAAAUUGAUGCAAUUCAAUGAGGAUGAGUCCACCUCAUUAAGACGAUCCAAGAUCAACUGUUUUGUGCAGAUCGGGGGAUUGUAUCAUGAAGCCGGAUUAGCUGGCUAGCCACGUAAGUUUCAGUUUAGUUUGCACCAAUCCUGGGUUUUAGGUUUCAUGAAAGUGGCUUGGCUUUUAGUGGUGUUCAAUGCCAUAGUAACUUACACUCCACAACA